rnacentral:rRNA from 1 species
GACGAACGCUGGCGGCGUGCUUAACACAUGCAAGUCGAACGGUGAAGCGCCUUCCUUUUUGGUGGGUGUGGAUGAGUGGCGAACGGGUGAGUAACACGAGCGUAACCUGCCCUUUUCUUCUGGAUAACCGCAUGAAAGUGUGGCUAAUACGGGAUAUUCUGGGUCUGUGGCAUGAUGGGUCUGGGGAAGCUAUUGUUUCGGUGGGGGCUGGUCUCGCGGUCUAUCAGGUUGUUGGUGGGGUGCUGGCCUACCAAGGCGGUGAAGGGUAGCCGGGCUGAGAGGGUGGACGGUCACAGUGGGACUGAGACACCGCCCAGACUCCGACAGGAGGCAGCAGUGGAGAAUAGUGCACAGUGGGCACAAGCCUGCAGCAGCGACGCGGCGGGAGGGAUGGCGGCCUGCGGGUUGUGAACCUCUUUCGCCAGUGAAGCGGGCCUGCCUCGUAUGUGGCUGGGUUGACGGUAGCUGGAGAAGAAGCACCGGCUAACUACGUG